UACGUAGGGGGCAAGCGUUGUCCGGGAUCAUUGGGCGUAAAGAGCGUGUAGGCGGCCCGGUAAGUCCGCUGUGAAAGUCGGGGGCUCAACCCUCGAAUGCCGGCGGAUACUGUCGGGCUAGAGUCCGGAAGAGGCGAGUGGAAUUCCUGGUGUAGCGGUGAAAUGCGCAGAUAUCAGGAGGAACACCGGUGGCGAAGGCGGGUCUCUGGGCAGUAACUGACGCUGAGGAGCGAAAGCGUGGGGAGCGAACAGG
rnacentral:rRNA from 1 species